rnacentral:rRNA from 1 species
GGCAAAAGCUCAAAUUUGAAAUCCCCCCGGGGAGUUGUAAUUUGAAGAUUGCGUCUUGGAGGCGACCGUGUCUAUGUUCCUUGGAACAGGACGUCACAGAGGGUGAGAAUCCCGUGCGGCACGGCCCCCGGCUCCUUAUAAGGCGCUCUCGACGAGUCGAGUUGUUUGGGAAUGCAGCUCAAAGUGGGUGGUAAAUUCCAUCUAAAGCUAAAUACAGGCGAGAGACCGAUAGCGAACAAGUACAGUGAUGGAAAGAUGAAAAGCACUUUGAAAAGAGAGUGAAACAGCACGUGAAAUUGUUGAAAGGGAAGGGCAUGCCGUCAGAUUGUCAGUGUGGGUAAGAAGCGGGGUACAAAGACUGUGGAACGUGGCCCUCGGGUGUUAUAGCCGCAGUUCAUGCCCCGUCUCUUUCCGAGGCCUGCUUUGAGGACACCGACGUAAUGACGGUACGCCGCCCGUCUUGAAACACGGACCCA